GGUGUUCUUAGGUUUGGAAGUAUAAAUCCCGUGGGAAGUCAGCUGAAAAAACAUUUUAUGCAUCGCUCAUCCUAUUAUGAGCCCUGCGCUGUUUCAGUUCUUUUCAAGG
rfam:Tupaia chinensis contig11957, whole genome shotgun sequence.